UCGUGUUUUGGAUAAGGUCGGCCGCAUCGUCCGAAACAGAAUUAGCAUGAAAAUAGCCGACGAUUCGGAAUCGUGGAUCGAUUCUAUAGGUGAGUAUCUAUCUCCAGACCUACAUAGGCUUAUCGGGUGCCCACUAGCUUGGCCAAAGUCCCACCCUAUCCGCUGUUUACUUAACAGUCGUAGGUUUAACGUUGGGACCGGAUCUCCUUUAGGCCUGGCCCAGCUCGAUUAUCGAUCGUCUUUUAACGGGUCGUCUAACACGGGAACAAAAGAAAGACCGGGGAUUACCUAAUUGCCGAUUUCCAAAUCAAUUUCGGCCCGUGUACAUUUGGCCAGACGAAAUUUGUUAAAGUCUUUAGCAAAAUAACCGAGACUGCUAAGUCGGAGAGGAAACGGAGCAGAGUUUACCGGUUGGGGAAUUUCCCCAAAUGGAAAUGUACCGUAGCGCCUGCGUAAUAUUAGUGGGCCAGAAGGCGUAGAAACCCUUCUUAAGCGGAAUUUUCCUUUAAUAAACCAGCUGGGAAGGGCGUAUUUGGAAGCGACUAGAGAUUUACUUAGGCGCAUCUUUUAAAGUCUACUAGGUGAAGCGGCCGAUGUAAUCGAUGACUUUUUGACCGGAUUUAGGUGGAGAGAGGAAAGAAUCUGACCAGUUAAAAGUGUGACUUUCCCGUUGCAGAUACGAUAUCACCGGAAGCGCAACUGGACCGAGUACUGGCUCAACGUUUGGAAAACGCACUCCGUGAAGC
rnacentral:lncRNA from 1 species